GUGGAAAAAAGUCAAAUCACAACAAAGAUGGAGUGGAAAUCUGUGUGGAUCUAUGUGUAAUUCAAGAGGCAAUGCCACAGACAGGAAGAGAGAUAUUGAUGUAGCAGAAGAAGAAUGAAGGAAGAUGGUUGCAAAUAUAUUUCUGGAGGAAAUGAAGUUCCUUUGGCUGGAAUUCAAAGGCUCCCUUUGUCAUCGUUGACCAUGAAUGGAUGAACUUCAUGUAGAUGAUGCCCAUUUCCCAUCUUUGAAUCAAACAUUAAUACCAUUUGACAGUAAUAAAUAACAUUUAUCACAAUAGGGAUCUACUAAUGAUUUUCCCACUAAGCUGGCUCAUCAGAACCUAUCAGCUGACAACUGCAUAAAUGAGAUUAGCAUAACAGCUGCCUAUGACAAAUGUAUCUAAAUCAUUUUUAAUGCCAGCUAGCUCUUUGAUCUCCCUAUCACAUUGUUGCCAAAACUAAAUUCAUUUCUUCAAGAUACAUGUUGUUUAUUACAGAUACAUGUGUAUAUCCCACACUAUUAUGUACUCUAGAGAUUUCAGUAAUUAAAAGAAUUAAAAACACUGAUUGGAUACUGCCACUAUAAUGUAAACUUGCAACACUGCACUUCAGAGUACCAUUCCACUGCUGGCUUAAUUUCCCCCUCCCCUGAAUUGUAGGAUUCAAUGUUUAAUAGCUGUGUGUUUCUCUGGCACAAAAUACAUGUUUUAAUGUAAA